AGAGUUUGAUCCUGGCUCAGGACGAACGCUGGCGGCGUGCUUAACACAUGCAAGUCGAACGGUGAAGCCCUUCGGGGUGGAUCAGUGGCGAACGGGUGAGUAACACGUGGGCAAUCUGCCCUGCACUCUGGGGCAAGCCUUGGAAACGAGGUCUAAUACCGGAUACGACCCUGGAGCGCAUGCUCCGGGGUGGAAAGCUCCGGCGGUGCAGGAUGAGCCCGCGGCCUAUCAGCUUGUUGGUGGGGUGAUGGCCUACCAAGGCGACGACGGGUAGCCGGCCUGAGAGGGCGACCGGCCACACUGGGACUGAAACACGGGCCAGACUCCUACGGGAGGCAGCAGUGGGGAAUUUUGCACAAUGCCCGAAAGGGUGAUGCAGCAACGCCGCGUGAGGGAUGAAGGUCUUCGGAUCGUAAACCUCUUUCGAUCGGGAAAAAUGGGCGGGUGAAUAACCCGUUCUGAUGGUACCGGAAGAAGAAGCCCCGGCUAACUACGUGCCAGCCGCCGCGGUAAUAC
rnacentral:rRNA from 1 species